UACGAAGGGGGCGAGCGUUGUCCGGAAUCAUUGGGCGUAAAGAGCUCGUAGGCGGCUCGGUAAGUCGGGUGUGAAACCCCCAGGCUCAACCUGGGGACGCCACCCGAUACUGCUGUGGCUAGAGUCCAGUAGGGGAGUGUGGAAUUCCCGGUGUAGCGGUGAGAUGCGCAGAUAUCGGGAGGAACACCAGCGGCGAAGGCGGCACUCUGGGCUGGAACUGACGCUGAGGAGCGAAAGCGUGGGUAGCAAACAGG
rnacentral:rRNA from 1 species